CAACUCCCUCGACCGGAGUUUUGGGCUACCACUUAUAACAAUUCCUAUAUAUGUCAACCUUCAUCCUCCACAGCCAGGCAUACCUGUAAAUAAAAAAAAUGCUCAACUUUUAUUCACAUCCGAGAGGGCAUUCCCAGUAGAGUCUCUCAAAAUACUCAAUUUUUUUCCCUUCCGAUAAUACCUAUGCAAACAAGCCACACCAGAGCAAGAGUAUCUCAUAUCAUCAGGGUUAAAAGCAAGAUUAUCCCAUAUCAUGCUUUUUCCCUGUCUUUUCCUUUGCCCUUGCUCUUACCUAUAGGACAAGGAGAAAAAACACAAUCAGUCGGAACCUGAAAUCAAACUUCCGAUCUGGAACUGAUUGCCCAGAAUCUUUGCAUGAUUGUUUGCCUAACAUUGCUCUCGAGUACUCAUCCUCAACUGUUAUCAAGGUCACGAAAUCCUUCGGCAAAUACCUCAGAAUAGUUGAUAUAAUAUUAACGCUUUACACUAAAACUGCCAAGCAUGGAUGAGUCGCUGAGAAGUAGUGCUCUAAAGGACCAUUUAAAUGCAAAGGUUGCAUUCCACUCCUGCAUCGGGGAUAAAUGCUAUAAAAGAUUGAAGCAGAAGGAUCAAUUAUGAGCUGGAAUAACACGAUGCCCUUCCUGCAGAACCAUACAA
rnacentral:lncRNA from 1 species